rnacentral:rRNA from 2 species
ACGCUGGCGGCGUGCCUAAUACAUGCAAGUCGAACGAACUCUGGUAUUGAUUGGUGCUUGCAUCAUGAUUUACAUUUGAGUGAGUGGCGAACUGGUGAGUAACACGUGGGAAACCUGCCCAGAAGCGGGGGAUAACACCUGGAAACAGAUGCUAAUACCGCAUAACAACUUGGACCGCAUGGUCCGAGUUUGAAAGAUGGCUUCGGCUAUCACUUUUGGAUGGUCCCGCGGCGUAUUAGCUAGAUGGUGAGGUAACGGCUCACCAUGGCAAUGAUACGUAGCCGACCUGAGAGGGUAAUCGGCCACAUUGGGACUGAGACACGGCCCAAACUCCUACGGGAGGCAGCAGUAGGGAAUCUUCCACAAUGGACGAAAGUCUGAUGGAGCAACGCCGCGUGAGUGAAGAAGGGUUUCGGCUCGUAAAACUCUGUUGUUAAAGAAGAACAUAUCUGAGAGUAACUGUUCAGGUAUUGACGGUAUUUAACCAGAAAGCCACGGCUAACUACGUGCCAGCAGCCGCGGUAAUACGUAGGUGGCAAGCGUUGUCCGGAUUUAUUGGGCGUAAAGCGAGCGCAGGCGGUUUUUUAAGUCUGAUGUGAAAGCCUUCGGCUCAACCGAAGAAGUGCAUCGGAAACUGGGAAACUUGAGUGCAGAAGAGGACAGUGGAACUCCAUGUGUAGCGGUGAAAUGCGUAGAUAUAUGGAAGAACACCAGUGGCGAAGGCGGCUGUCUGGUCUGUAACUGACGCUGAGGCUCGAAAGUAUGGGUAGCAAACAGGAUUAGAUACCCUGGUAGUCCAUACCGUAAACGAUGAAUGCUAAGUGUUGGAGGGUUUCCGCCCUUCAGUGCUGCAGCUAACGCAUUAAGCAUUCCGCCUGGGGAGUACGGCCGCAAGGCUGAAACUCAAAGGAAUUGACGGGGGCCCGCACAAGCGGUGGAGCAUGUGGUUUAAUUCGAAGCUACGCGAAGAACCUUACCAGGUCUUGACAUACUAUGCAAAUCUAAGAGAUUAGACGUUCCCUUCGGGGACAUGGAUACAGGUGGUGCAUGGUUGUCGUCAGCUCGUGUCGUGAGAUGUUGGGUUAAGUCCCGCAACGAGCGCAACCCUUAUUAUCAGUUGCCAGCAUUAAGUUGGGCACUCUGGUGAGACUGCCGGUGACAAACCGGAGGAAGGUGGGGAUGACGUCAAAUCAUCAUGCCCCUUAUGACCUGGGCUACACACGUGCUACAAUGGAUGGUACAACGAGUUGCGAACUCGCGAGAGUAAGCUAAUCUCUUAAAGCCAUUCUCAGUUCGGAUUGUAGGCUGCAACUCGCCUACAUGAAGUCGGAAUCGCUAGUAAUCGCGGAUCAGCAUGCCG